GACGAACGCUGGCGGCACGCUUAACACAUGCAAGUCGAACGAGAGAAGAGAAGCUUGCUUUUCUGAUCUAGUGGCGGACGGGUGAGUAACACGUGAGCAAUCUGCCUUUCAGAGGGGGAUACCGAUUGGAAACGAUCGUUAAUACCGCAUAACAUAAUUGAACCGCAUGAUUUGAUUAUCAAAGAUUUAUCGCUGAAAGAUGAGCUCGCGUCUGAUUAGCUAGUUGGUAAGGUAACGGCUUACCAAGGCGACGAUCAGUAGCCGGACUGAGAGGUUGAUCGGUCACAUUGGGACUGAGACACGGCCCAGACUCCUACGGGAGGCAGCAGUGGGGAAUAUUGCACAAUGGAGGAAACUCUGAUGCAGCGAUGCCGCGUGAGGGAAGAAGGUUUUAGGAUUGUAAACCUCUGUCUUCAGGGACGAAAAAAGACGGUACCUGAGGAGGAAGCUCCGGCUAACUACGUG
rnacentral:rRNA from 1 species